UACGUAGGUCCCGAGCGUUGUCCGGAUUUAUUGGGCGUAAAGCGAGCGCAGGUGGUUUAUUAAGUCUGAUGUGAAAGGCCGGGGCUCAACCCCGGGACUGCAUUGGAAACUGUAAAGCUAGAGUGCCGGAGAGGUAAGCGGAAUUCCUAGUGUAGCGGUGAAAUGCGUAGAUAUUAGGAGGAACACCAGUGGCGAAGGCGGCUUACUGGACGGCAACUGACGCUGAGGCUCGAAAGCGUGGGGAGCAAACAGG
rnacentral:rRNA from 1 species